rnacentral:rRNA from 1 species
GGAGGUUGGCUUAGAAGCAGCCAUCCUUGAAAGAGUGCGUAAUAGCUCACUGGUCAAGUGAUCGUGCGCCGACAAUGUAGCGGGGCUCAAGCACACCGCCGAAGCCGCGGACCCAUCACGUGUUCCCUACCGGGUUUGUCCUGGUCAGGGGUGGUGGGUGGUAGGGGAGCGUCCUGCACCGGGUGAAGCCGCAGAGUGAUCUAGUGGUGGACGGUGCGGGAGUGAGAAUGCAGGCAUGAGUAGCGAUACUAGGGUGAGAAGCCCUAGCGCCGAAUGACCAAGGGUUCCAGGGCCAGGCUAGUCCGCCCUGGGUGAGUCGGGACCUAAGGCGAGGCCGACAGGCGUAGUCGAUGGAUGACGGGUUGAUAUUCCCGUACCGGCGAAGCACCGCCCAUGCUGACGCGCGGGUGCUAACCCACGCCCGGCACCACAAUCGCGCCUUCUGGUGGCUUCGGCUGCCUGUUGGUGUGGUGGUGUGGGGUCUGGGGACCCUCCGUGCAGGUAGGCAAGCGUGUUAACAGGGGUGACGCACAGUGGUAGCCUCCGCGGGCCUAAUGGCUUGGCCCGUUCAAGCGAGCAGCCCGACAGCCAGGCAAAUCCGGUUGUCUUCCUUUGAUGGUGAGGGUCAGACGUGAUGGUGACCUGCCCUUCUCGGGUGGGGAAGUAGGGUGAUCCUGGGGUGCCGAGAAAAGCCUCGACGCGAUGGUGCCAGCCGCCCGUACCCUAAACCGACACAGGUGGUCGGGCAGAGUAUGCCUAGGCGCACGAGUGAAUCAUGGUGAAGGAACUCGGCAAAAUGCCCCCGUAACUUCGGGAGAAGGGGGGCCCGAGCCUUGAAGCCCCUUUUUGCGGGCUAGGGGUGAGGGUCGCAGAGACCAGGGAGAAGCGACUGUUUACUAAAAACACAGGUCCGUGCGAAGCCGCAAGGCGAUGUAUACGGACUGACGCCUGCCCGGUGCUGGAAGGUUAAGAGGAACCGUCAACCCCCGUCGUGGGGUGAAGCGGUGAAUUUAAGCCCCAGUAAACGGCGGUGGUAACUAUAACCAUCCUAAGGUAGCGAAAUUCCUUGUCGGGUAAGUUCCGACCUGCACGAAUGGCGUAACGACUUCUCCACUGUCUCCACCAUGAGCUCGGCGAAAUUGCACUACGAGUAAAGAUGCUCGUUACGCGCAGAAGGACGGAAAGACCCCGGGACCUUUACUACAGCUUGGUAUUGGCGCCCGCUAUGGCUUGUGCAGGAUAGGUGGGAGACUGUGAAGCAGCCACGCCAGUGGUUGUGGAGUCGUCGUUGAAAUACCACUCUGGCUAUGGCGUGCGCCUGAACCUCGGCCCGUGAUCCGGGUCAGGGACAGUGCCUGGUGGGUAGUUUAACUGGGGCGGUUGCCUCCUAAAAUGUAACGGAGGCGCUCAAAGGUUCCCUCAGCCUGGUUGGUAAUCAGGUGGCGAGUGCAAGUGUACAAGGGAGCUUGACUGUGAGACCGACGGGUCGAGCAGGUGCGAAAGCAGGAACUAGUGAUCCGGCCAUGGCACGUGGGUGCGUGGUCGCUCAACGGAUAAAAGGUACCCCGGGGAUAACAGGCUGAUCUUGCCC